CUGUAGGUUAUCCCCUACCAAAAAUCUAGGACCAAAAUUCCUCAGACCAUACUACAUCGAAUACAGCAUGCCCCUGUACUUUUAACACUUCUAAAAUCAAUCUGUGACCCAAAUUAGCCACUAUUCCUAAAACCUCUAUUAUUUACCUUGGACUCUAAUUACAGACCCUGUUACACAGAAUAAUGCUAAAAACAAUAUAGGACCCUUCUAACCCUAGUUCUUACUACUCCUACAACGGAAAAGCCU